GUGCCAGCAGCCGCGGUAAUACGGAGGGUCCGAGCGUUAUCCGGAAUUAUUGGGUUUAAAGGGUCCGUAGGCGGGCCGAUAAGUCAGGGGUGAAAGUCUGCCGCUCAACGGUAGAACUGCCUUUGAUACUGUCGGUCUUGAGUUAUAGUGAAGUUGCCGGAAUAUGUAGUGUAGCGGUGAAAUGCAUAGAUAUUACAUAGAACACCGAUUGCGAAGGCAGGUGACUAACUAUAUACUGACGCUGAUGGACGAAAGCGUGGGGAGCGAACAGGAUUAGAUACCCUGGUAGUCCACGCCGUAAACGAUGGAUACUAGCUGUCCGGGACCUUGAGUUCUGGGCGGCCAAGCGAAAGUGAUAAGUAUCCCACCUGGGGAGUACGUUCGCAAGAAUGAAACUCAAAGGAAUUGACGG
rnacentral:rRNA from 1 species